rnacentral:rRNA from 1 species
AGUCAAGAGGAGCUUGCUUUUCUUGACUUAGUGGCGGACGGGUGAGUAACGCGUGGGUAACCUGCCUCACACUGGGGGAUAACGCAUCGAAAGAUGUGCUAAUACCGCGUAAGACCACAGCUUCACAUGGAGCGGGGGUCAAAGGAGCAAUCCGGAUAAAGAUGGGCUCGCGUCCGAUUAGAUAGUUGGUGAGGUAACGGCUCACCAAGUCGACGAUCGGUAGCCGGACUGAGAGGUUGAACGGCCACAUUGGGACUGAGACACGGCCCAAACUCC